rfam:Triticum aestivum genome assembly, contig: Triticum_aestivum_CS42_TGACv1_scaffold_515191_6BS
UUUAUACUUCCUCCGUCCGAAAAUAAUUGUCAUCAAAAUGAAUAAAGAGAGAUAUAUGAAGAACCGAAAUAUGUCUAGAUACAUUCUCUUUUAUCCAUUUUAAUGACAAGUAUUUUCGGACAGAGGAAGUAUAUA